UACAGAGGUCCCAAGCGUUGUUCGGAUUCACUGGGCGUAAAGGGUGCGUAGGCGGUUUGAUAAGUCUGAUGUGAAAUCCCGCAGCUUAACUGCGGAACUGCAUUGGGAACUGUUUGACUAGAGGACUGGAGGGGAGACUGGAAUACUUGGUGUAGCAGUGAAAUGCGUAGAUAUCUGGAGGAACACCGGUGGCGAAGGCGGCAUCCUGGACCAAGACUGACGCUGAGGAGCGAAAGCCAGGGGAGCAAACGGG
rnacentral:rRNA from 1 species